UUAUUCAUGUAAAAAAUGGUUAGCUAUCUUUUGGAUGAUCCAAAAGUAGGUUUGCGAUUUUGAAGAAAACACAGACCAAGAAUGUUUUUGAUUUGCGCUAUUGCGCUAUUGCGCAUGCGAAAUUUUUGUAAACCUACUUUUGGAUCAUCCAAAUCUUUUUUAGAUAAUGCUCAAUAUCGCUGAUAUACCAAUUCAUUUUUUACAAAUUCUUAAAUAUUUUUGAUAGUAGAGUGAAAGAAGACAGCUCUUCCAUUGCUUUUAAACAUUUUUUAACCAAUAUGCGUGUCCAAAUAGUAGUUGUAAUCUACUA